rnacentral:rRNA from 1 species
CCAGGCUCGAACGGCAUUGGACAUCCGGCGAAAGCCGGCUCCCGCAAGGGCCGAUGUCGAGGUGCUGCAUGGCUGUCGUCAGCUCGUGUCGUGAGAUGUUGGGUUAAGUCCCGCAACGAGCGCAACCCUUGUCCGCUGUUGCCAUCAGGUUAAGCUGGGCACUCUGCGGAGACUGCCGGUGAUAAACCGGAGGAAGGUGGGGAUGACGUCAAGUCAGCAUGGCCUUUAUGUCUGGGGCUACACACGUGCUACAAUGGCAGGUACAAACCGUCGCGAUGCCGCAAGGUGGAGCUAAUCGGAGAAAACCUGUCUCAGUUCGGAUUGCAGGCUGCAACUCGCCUGCAUGAAGUUGGAAUCGCUAGUAAUCGCGGAUCAGCACGCUGCGGUGAAUA